rfam:Triticum aestivum genome assembly, contig: Triticum_aestivum_CS42_TGACv1_scaffold_556689_7AL
UUAAUACUCCCUCCGUUCUAAAAUUCUUGUCUUAGAUUUGUCUAGAUACCCGUAUCUAGACAAAAUUAUUGUCUUAGAUUUGUCUAGAUACCAAUUUGUCUAGACACCCGUAUCUAGACAAAUCUAAGACAAGAAUUUUGGGACGGAGGGAGUACAAC